AGUUAUGUACCAAAACGACUGGGCUCCGGAACAGUGGAGCUCUCCCAAUCAGCAGAGUAGAUAUCCUAGGUGGGAGGAUCACCGAACUGUGCGUCUACACCUGCGGGCAUGAAACGCAGCCCCCCGAGGAAAGGGUGGUCAGUACGGACAAUGUACAGAGUAUGUAAAGCAUAAGGUAAAGAUGAAAGGAUACUAAUAUGGCAAGUCGAAACAAAAUAUUGCUACACAUAUACCCUUUAAGUGAAAAUCAUGCAUAUGUUUAACAUUUAAGGUGCCCAGCUUCCCUAGUAAGGGGCUCGGCAAAAUAAUCAUCACGUCAUCUCCGUCAUCAUCAUCAUCAUAACCAUCCUCAUCACCAAUCAUAUAUAUAAUAUACAUACCCAGCCCUCUAGUGAGGAACUCGGUGACAUAUGCAAGAAACUCCGCACGAAUAUUACCCGGCCCGGGACUCGGUGAAAUGAUAAAUGACUCUAUGCACGAGCAGAAUAUUAUGAGCAACCAUAUGCAAUUAAAAUCAUUUCUUAUAACUCAAUAGAACAAUCAACGUGAACCAGCAAGGAGUAUUACCAAAGAUUAAUGUUUUAUCAAGAUUAUGAACCUUUAAUACGAUAUGGAAACGUAAAAUCUCAAUGACUCUAAGAAGCAUUACCAUAGAUAUUAGAGAUCAUCAUAGCCUUAGACAUAGCCGAUAUAUAGAGGAAUAAUUGUGGAAGCAAGAAUAUACGUCACCUAGAUGCUCUAGAGGUAAGUAUCAAAUCUGUCCGUUAUUCGCUUAUUUUUAAAAGUCAUGCCAAGCAAAGAAAGAAGGGACAGCGUUACAUACCGUAUAAUCGAGCAGCACGUCCAAUAUUUACUACUCAAGCUAUUAAUCUAUAACAAGCAACAAUCGUGCCGCAAUUAGAUAAACAUCGUGCUUUACUUUCUUGUAAGCUAGCUAAUAAUCUAACGAAAAUUCGGCAGCACCUCCCCUAUUUUCCUUACUUUGUCCCAAUCCGACAACAAUCCAAAUUAUCCACAGCAAUACCAAUAACACAUAUAACCCAAAGAAUCAUAUUAAACAGCCCCCUCCCCAAAACAAUUCUAUCUCGGCAACCAUAACAGCGAAGCAACGACACACCGAGCGAUAACUCGUUUUAUAAUUUGCUACACAUCUACCUUAUUGUAUUCAUCCUUUGGAGUAUAUACUCAUAAUCACAUUCAACAUAUACAUAAUGCCAAAACAGAAUUUUCCUGCAGUUUGCUUUAAUCAAAACAGCCCAAGCACCAACAUGACACCACUAAUAAUCCGAUUAUGGUUUCCGUUCAUACUUAGCACAUUCAAUAACUAAAACAAACUUCCUAAGCUACUGGUCACGCCCCCUUCUUAAAAUUAAUGGAUAAUUAACAAGGGUAUUCUAAAGAAUUAACACACCAAACAAGGAGAUUACUAACCAAAUUAUUUGCAGCUGCUGGCCAAGAGUUGCAGGGUUGGUUUCUCCAUUUCCAUGGCUGCCUAAGACAAGUGGUGAAGAAGAAGAUGAUAUGCAGCAAUGCAUUUCACCACUUUAUUUAGCAUGGAGUGGAUUUAUCCACCUCAUUUAAUAGUAUGAAGUGGAGGCAGCCCCCCUCUACACCUGUCCACUAAGGCCAGCCCACAAUCUGAUCCCUUUUUAAUUUUUGCCUUGAGUGGUGGGGCCCACUGGAUUAAAUUAAUCCUAAUCAGCCACCAAUUAUGAGUGGUGGGGCCCAUUGGAUUAAAUCAAUCCAAAUUAGCCACUAAUUAAUCCCUCACUUAAAGUUAAUGGCACUUACAUUAGCCAACUCAUACUUAAUAUCACAUUUGGAAAUAACAUCCUUGCCUAAUAUUUCUUUACAUCUUCUAGAUCACGAUGCGCUCUAUGUAUAAAAAAAAUACGAGGCAUAACAGCUGCUGCUGCUCUAAGCUCCUCUGGUGGAAGCGGUGUAGCAAAGCUCUCCGACUGGAGCAUACUACAAGGCAUAGACUGGGCACGGGUCCUAGUAACUCUUUGGGUCUGGCUAGUACCUUCUACUACCGAUUUUCUGGGCGGCUGUCGCUUUCUUUUGAGGCAUAGCUGAAAACACACGGAUUCGUUAGAGAGGGAAUAUCCUGUUAAUAUAGCUCUAUAGCACGAUCUAGAAUAAGAAGAAAGGAUGACAUCCUAAAUGUCCUGUAGCUUUCUGUUUAUAGAUGUGGUGCGCAACACACCGAUAAACAAGACUCUACUAGACACGGUCUUUAAACACUUCCGAGGAAGAACCGCUCUGAUACCACUCUUUAUCACGACCCAACCCGAUGGGCCGUGACUAGUGCCCGUUUUGGACACCCACAUACAAACCAGCUUAGUAUAACCAACUGAAACUAAGACAAUAUGGAAUUUAAUCAAAUCAAGCCAACCCCAACGUCAUAUAUAUAUAUAAAGAGGACCUGUCUCAUAAGGAGUCAUAAUCAUUCAACCAUAACAACAUACGGGAGCCGACAAGGCCGCCACUAUCCAAAGCACAAUAACAUACGUAAGCCGACAACGCUGCCACUACACAAUACACAAUGAUGUACGCAGCCGACAAGGCCGCCCCUAUACAAGCGGACAUCCCAAACAAACCAUGUCUAGACCAUUAUCCAAAACAUAUAUAUACACCCCACAUAAUGUCCACAGACCUCUAAGAGUACAGUAGUUAAACUCGACGGGACGGGGCCCCGCCAUACGCAUAAACGAGCAAAAGACUACACAAAAAGUUAUGUACCAAAACGACUGGGCUCCAGAACAGUGGAGCUCUCCCAAUCAGCAGAGUAGAUAUCCUAGGCGGGAGGAUCACCGAACUGUGCAUCUACACCUGCGGGCAUGAAACACAGCCCCCCCGAGGAAAGGGGGGUCAGUAUGGACAAUGUACUGAGUAUGUAAAGCAUAAGGUAAAGAUGACAGGAUACCAAUAUGGCACGUCGAAACAAAAUAUCGCUACACAUGUACCCUUUUAAGUGAAAAUCAUGCAUAUCUUUAACAUAUAAGUUGCCCAGCUUCCCUAGUAAGGGGCUCGGCAAAAUAAUCAUCACGUCAUCUCCGUCAUCAUCAUCAUCAUAACCAUCCUCAUCACCAAACAUAUAUAUAAUAUACAUACCCGACCCUCUAGUGAGGGACUCGGUGACAUAUGCAAGAAACUCCGCACGAACAUUACCCGGCCCGGGACUCGGUGAAAUGAUAAAUGACUCUAAGCACGAGCAUAAUAUUAUGAGCAACCAUAUGCAAUUAAAAUCAUUUCUAUUAACUCAAUAGAACAAUCCACGUGAACCAGCAAGGAGUAUUACCAAAGAUUAACGUUUUAUCAAGAUUAUGAACCUUUAAUACGAUAUGGAAACGUAAAAUCUCAAUGACUCUAAGAAGCACUACCAUAGAUAUGAGAAAUCAUCAUAGCCUUAGACAUACCCGAUACAUAGAGGAAUAAUUGUGGAAGCAAGAAUAUACGUCACCUAGACGCCCUAGAGGUAAGUAUCAAACCUGUUCGUUAUUCGCUUAUUUUUAAAUUUCAUGCCAAAAAAAGAAAGAAGGGACAGCGUUACAUACCAUAUAGUCGAGCCGCACGUCCAAUAUUUACUGCUCAAGCUAUUAAUCUAUAACAAGUAACAAUCAUGCCGCAAUUCGAUAAACGUUGCGCUUUACUAUCUUGUAAGCUAGCUAAUAAUCUAACGAAAAUCCGGCAGCACUUCCCCUAUUUUCCUUACAUCGUCCCAUUCCUAAAAAAACCCAAAUUAUCCACAGCAAUACCAAUAACACAUAUAAUCCAACCAAUCAAAUUAAACAGCCCCCUCCCAAAAACAAUUCCGUCUCGGCAACCAUAGCAGCGAAGAAACGACACACCGAGCGAUAACUCAUUUUAUAAUUCGCAACACAUCUACCUUAUCGUACUCAUCCUUUGGAGUAUAUACUCAUAAUCACAUUUAACAUAUACAUAACGCCAAAAUAGAAUUUUCCCGCAGUUUGCUUUAAUCAAAACAGCCCAAGCACCAACACGACACCACUAAUAAUCCGAUUAUGGUUUUCGUUCAUACUUAGCACAUUCAAUAACUAAAACAAACUUCCUAAGCUACUGGUCACGCCCCCUUCUUAAUAUUAAUGGAUAAUUAACAAGGUAUUCUAAAGAAUUAACACACCAAGCAAGGAGAUUACUAACCAAAUUAUUUGCAGCUGCUGGCCAAGAGUUGCAGGGUUGGUUUCUCCAUUUCCAUGGUUUCCUAAGCCAAGUGGUGAAGAAGAUGAUAUGCAGCAACGCAAUUCACCACUUUAUUUAGUAUGGAGUGGAUUUAUCCACCUCAUUUAUAAUAUGAAGUGGAGGCAGCCCCCCCUCUACACGUGUCCACUAAGGCCAGCUCCCAAUCUGGUCCCUUUUUAAUUUUUGCCUUGAGAGGUGGGGCCCACUGGAUUAAAUUAAUCCUAAUCAGCCACUAAUUAAUCUCUCACUUAAAGUUAAUGGCACUUACAUUAGCCAAAUCAUACUUAAUAUCACAUUUGGAAUUAACAUCCUUGCCUAAUAUUUCUUUAAUCACUUGAAACUUAAAAUAAAAUCUCAUUCCCCGGACUUACGUCUACUAGAUCCUGACGCGCACUACGUAUAAAAAAAUACGAGGCAUAAUAGAAUGGAUUCUUUAAGUCCAAAUAUUUCCUAAGUUUUAUGUUACUGUAAAGUUUAGCAAUAAUGUACUUAUGUAAUAUGUUAUAAGGGUCGUGUCCCUAAUGUACUCUAAUGAUGUUGAGUCUAAGAUGGAAAUGAGACUUAGAGUUUUAAACUAUGUAUAUAUAUAUAUAUAUAUAUAUAUAUAUAUAUAUAUAUAUAUAUAUAUAUAUAUAUUGGAAGUGAUCUUCUAGCAUAUGAUGUGCUACGAAAUUUAUAAAUUUUUCACUAAAUUUCCCAUGACAAUGUGAUGAAUGAUAACUAUGGGCUUGUAUAAGACCUCCAAGAGGUCAAGUACGCCAUGUUACUUUUAGAUGGUGCUCCCCAGUCGUGACAAUCUAGUCUAGGAAUUCAAAUCCUUCCUUUAACGGUGAGCACACCCUUGCAUCUAAACUCGCAUCUUGUGGCUUACCAGACAUUGUUUUCUAUCUAAUCUCAUUAAUAUUCUCAUCCUCAAACUGUUUGGCCUUGAUCUCCUCAUUUAAUGUAGCCGUACUCUCAAUGCUAGCUAACAGCCACCGAUUUAUGAAAUGCCAAAAUGCAUGAACUUAAACUCCAAUGUUUGAAUAUCCGUAGACAAAGUAUGCUUGGAUACACUCAAGCAAUCUAGACGUCACGACCGGAGUCUAGAUCCUAGCCGAAAUCGGUGUUGUUGACCUCUCAGAGGUCGUAGACAAGCCUACAUACGUCAUCAUUACAUCAUCUAGAUAAAUUUUAGCGGAAAAUUUUAAUUUUUUGUUUAAUUGAAGUAUACCUAGACUUAAUAAUAGGAAAAAUUGUAUUUGAAUAAGAUCAUCUACAUAAUAUCUUAAUCGUUCACAACAACCAUCUAAUAACAAGAUACUCAAAUGAAUGAAAUAGUUCAUAACUGCAUUGAAUGUAGACUUGCCAAAAUGGAACCAAUACAAUGUUUGAAACAAAUGAGAAAGAAACGCUAGUGGAACAUCCUCCACUAGAUAAUGUCUACAUCUAAUCUAGAAUAUAAAAGAUAGGCAUCCUCGAAAGCAAGAGGGCCUACAAAGUCCGGAUGAAUGCUCCAUGUCAGGAUAACUUCAGCAUAGUCUCGUAAUGCUCUAGCAUUCACCUGCACCUGCACCUAAAAGUAGAGAGUUGUAUGGGAUUAUUACACACUUGUACUAAGUAUGGGUAUAUUCAAGCACACACCCAAGUACAUGCAUGAUUAAGAAGAGCUCUCUCCUAACGAUAUGAGUUAUGGAAAGUCAAGUUAGUGAACUUGCCAAGUCGGAUUAAGAAAGUGAUGCUAUGAGAGUAACAUGCAUCAUCAUACAUAUCAUUUUGCAAACAGAACAUAGCAUAUUGCACAUAUCAUAUCACAUAGUUCAUAUCAUUCUUUCAUAUGCCAUGAGACCUUGGAAUCAUGGACUUAACAUUAAGACUUCCCAAAAUGAGGGCUCAACAUAUGGGACCUCAAUAAGAGAGCCUCCUUUAGCAAACACAGAGUCUGCUUCAUUCAUUCAUAUUUACUUCAUUUUCAUUCAUUCAUAUACUAGUAUAAACACCAACUAAACCUAAGAUGUAGUUUAAGACAUUCAUCGGGUUCCCUGUGCAAUGACCAAGAAUAACCUAGUGUCAUUACUUAAGUCUAGCUCACCUCUUGAUUAUCCUAUCCUAACACCUUUGGUAUUGUUUAUUUCAUUAUGUGCAUUAUUUUAUUAGGUGGAGACUUUGUCAAACUAGGACUCCCCAUUAUUUAUUAUUAUUAUUAUUGUGAUUAUGAUUAUUUUAUUAAAUAUCUGAUUUUGCUGUAAUUAAAUCAGUAAAUUAAUAUUAAUUACUUUAACUAGUUCACUAAAUACAAUAAAUCAAUUAAAUCAUUGCUUCCACGAAGGCUCAAACCCGGGUGGAGCAUGAUUUUGCUUAAAGGGUCAAUUUCGGCCACCUCUACCCAAAUUGCCCCUUAACUAUAUUAAUUAAUUAAUUAAUUAGGAUAAUUACAAUACUAUCCUUAGCCUGGAAAAGACCAUUUUUCUUCUAGACCCUCCAAACUUAAGAUUACCCCUUUUUAAGUUUGGUUAAGACUCAUCCGGGUAAAUCUUAAUAUUCGCUGCCCUACAUGGUUGGACCCAACCUUUCCUAGAUCAAAUAACUCACCAAGUUAGUUGGCUUGGUUGUUGCAGAGGUUCACAGGUCGGGUUCUACGCGCACAAUCUGUGUGAACCCGGUCUAAUCUAGGCAUUCUAGAUACGUUAGAAAUUACUUAGCACAGUCAUUUUGAGGGUUGUUACAUUACCCCCCCCCCCUCCUAGAAACAUUUAUCCACGAAUGACACUACACAUUAUUUUAAAAUAAAGAGGGUGAUUUUCGAAAAUAUGUUAACAUACUUGAGACUUUACUCUUUGUGAAUUUCUGUUCACACUUACUCUGGAUAGUGCAUAUUACUCAAGCUUAUUUGAAGCUUCAUAUUUGAGAUUGAGGAACUUCCUUCUCAAUCGCACUUAACUUGAUGCACCUCACCACUCAUAAAACACACAAAAGAAAUCAUGACCACACUAUACAAAAACAGCAACAUGACAUGCAAACAUUAAUUCAUUUUAACUCACAUAGUGCAAUUAUUAUAUAUACAAUUUUGGACUUACAACAUCUUGUUGGCCUUAAGAUUUGAAAUUAUAUGGCUUUGUUUGAUUGAUCCACGCCCUGCCCAUUUAUACUCUAUCUCAUUUUGAAACUGAGACCUCACUCCCAUGGUUGAUAGUCUAUGGUAGCAUAACACUUAUGGAGAAAAUCCAUACCUAAACUAUUAAAUGCUUUUUUUAUUAUAGAAUAUCUGAUUUACAUAUUAGUAGGUUGGUGCACAUCCUUGAAACUUACUAGCAGCUUCGCAUUAAUAUCUAAUUUCUCCUUCCCUUUUUCUCGACCUCUCAUAUAAGGACAGUCCUCUAUCAUAUGACCCAGUUUUCUAGAAUUGUAACAAGCGUUCGAGCCCCUCCUACACUCUCCUCCAUGAAGUUUGUCACACUUCCUACAAGGUGGCCUCUCUUGAGGUGUAUCUACUUUACUGUUUCUCUUAACUCUAGGCUCAGAAUCCCUCUCAAAGCGAUCCUUGGACGAACUUGACUCCCUUUGGUGGGAGAGUCCCUUCUUAGACCUGGGCUUAUCCCUGAUUUAAGUACUACUCUUCCUUGAAAAAUUAUUCUCAACUUGCGUUGACCUGUUCCUUGCCCUAGUAUGCUUCCUCUUCCUACUUUCCUCCACUUGUUGGACAUGGACCAUAAGACUGGAAAGACCUAUGCUAGCAUGCAACAUAGCUACCCUACACUCCUCCUCGAGAUUCUCAGCAAUCUUAGAUCCAGUGUAAAUGGGAGGAUUUAUCCUCGUGAAGUCCUUUAACCUACUAGCCAUGGUGCUAGCAGGUGGGUUCUUUCUGGGAACACCUUGUUGCUCUGCUUGGGCUGUCAUAGCCUGAGCUUGUAAGGUGAUGGAUUGGGCCAUCUGUACCAGGGCUAUCCUUACUUCUCCAUCUGUCAACCUAACUAUGUUAACAAGCAUCUCCAUUUCAGCAGUUGGGGCCUAGGGAGGAACUUGGUUACCCCCAACAGCUGCUUCUCCUCUUCCCUGACCAGUGUUCCUCCUUGUGUUCAUUUUCUAAAAAAAUAGAAUUGAUGCUAGAAAUGCUCAUAACACCAAGGAAUCAGACAUUAGAAAAGCACGUAAGAUCAGGAGAAGGGAAAAUUUCCUACGCGUCAUGUAGUCUCUAAUUCAGGAUAGUGGUGCACUUCACUACCAUGACUUAGAAUCUACUUGAUGUGGUUGAUGUGAACUUAUUAUCCUCAGAAUUUAACCUAGUGCUCUAAUACAAACUUUGUCACAACCUUAGUCUAUACCCUAGCCGAAACCGACAUCGUUGACCUCUCAGAGGUCGCAGACAAGCCUACAUAUGUCAUCGUUACAUCAUCUAGAUCAAUUUUAGCGGAAAAUUUUAACUUUUUAUUUUGUUAAAAUAUACUUGGACUUCAUAAGAGGAAACAUUGUAUUCGAAUAAGAUCAUCUACACAACUUCAUAAUCAUUCACAACAACUAUCUCAUCAUACCAAGAUACUCAAAUGAAUGAAGUAGUUCAUAACUGCAUUAAAUGUAUACUUGCCAAAAUGGAACCGAUACAAUGUCUGAAACAAGUGAGAAAGAAAUGCUAGUGGAACAUCCUCCACUAACUCAUGCCUACAUCUAAGCUAGAAUAUAAAAGAUAGGCAUCCUCGAAAGCAAGAGGGUCUACCAAGUCCGGAUGAAUGCUCCACGUCCAGAUAAAUUCUGGUAGUCUCAUAAUGCUUUAGCGUUCACCUUCACCUGCACCUAAAAGUAGAGAGUUGUAUGGGAUCAGUACACACUUGUACUAAGUGUGGGUAUAUGCAAGCACACACAAAGGACAUGCAUGAUUAAGAAGAGCUCUCUCCUAACGAUAUGAGUUAUGGUAAGUCAAGUCAGUGGAAUUUCCAAAUCGAAUUAGGAAAGUGAUGCUAUGAGAGUAACAUGCAUCAUCAUACAUAUCAUUUUGCAAACAGUACAUAACAUAUUGCACAUAUCAUAUCACAUAGUUGAUAUUAUUCCUUCAUAUGCCAUGAGACCUUAGAAUCAUGGACUUGACAUUAAGACUUCCCAAAAUGAGGGCUCAACAUAUGGGACCUCAACUAGGGAUCCUCCUUUAGAAAACACAGGGUCUGCUUCAUUCAUUCAUAUGUACUUCAUUUUAAUUCAUUAUACACUAGUGUAAACACCAUCUAAACCUAAGAUGUAGUUUAAGACUUUCAUCAGGUUCCCUGUGCAAUGACCAAGAAUAACCUACUGUCAUUUCUAGCUCACCUAUUGAUUAUCCUAUCCUAACACCUUUGGUAUUGUUUAUUUCAUUAUGUGCAUUAUUUUAGGCUGGCCAUAUUCUUCUUUGGGAACUUUAACCUUAACUGACAUAGAUCAUGUGAGCAUCAUGAAAUCCACCAUUUAACCGCACACCUAAAAGAGGUGGAAUCACCGGAUAAAGUGAACCAAAACAUGCUAGCGUAUAUAGGAAAUCGAUCUCUGCUAGAACUCUAUAUUGUCAGUAUAGUUUCUACGACUAGGAGAUAUAAGGAGACCCAUACCCGUAUGGACGGACAGUCUCAUAUCAUGAGAAUUACACGAACCUCUGCCUUCCUGAAAGAAGGAGUCGUGACUCAUAGCUAGGCUGUCGGUGCUCAGUAUAAAGUUCCAUUACAUUCAUCUCAUAUAUCAUAGAAGUUGGCUUCUAGCAUGAGGAAUCAUAGCUCAUUAGAUGAUUUCUCAUCACAUCAUUAUGUAUUAAGUGUGAAUUGUCCUUACACUUACAUAUAGAGUGUGACUGAAACCUGUCUCUUAAUAUUCAUCACUCUCUAAGGUGAGUACUUUUAGUGAACUUAUAUAGGUGUAGGUACAACUUGUCCCACUUGCACCAACCUCAUAUUAUUGUUCCACCUUGUUCUCUCUUAACAUCUUUUCGUUUCAUCUUUACUCACCUAUUAUAAUUUGUUCAUCAUAUAACAUACAUAUGAUCUCUUGAAGUUUACAUUGAGGGACAUUGAUUCUAGGCGUAGUUACAACUUGUCUCCCUUGUACUAGCCUAUCCUCAUGUAGCCACUCUUUCUUUUCUUAUUAAUCGUUUAGUAUAUAUAUACUCUCUUAGAAAUUUCAUUUAGUGACACUGAUUUUUAGGCGUAUGUGCAACUUAUCUCACUUGCACUAGCCUAUAGUCAUGUAGUCACUCUUUUAUUUACAUAUUAACUAUGAAUUCAUUCUUAACACCUUCUUUUGGUGUGUUGACACUCAAUUUUGACCGACCUUUAACUAUUUUUAGGAAUGCUAUUCGAUGUAGUGCGUAUUUUAAAAAAAUAUUUUAAGUUUAGAGUUUUAGUCGAUUUUGCAUGAAAUUAUAUAUUUUAGUAUGUUUACUUUAUAAAAUUAUUGUUAAAAUAUUUUAAAAUUAUUGAUGAAUUUUGAAUGUUUUAAAAUUUAAGCAAUUUUCGAUUAUGUAAAAAUAUUUAUAAAAUUUGUAUUAUUUUAAUUGGAUGAUAUUUCCUCAAUUUUUCUCAAAAAAAAAUUAAAUUCUAGCCUAUUUUAUUUGAAUUUCUUUCAAUUUCAGCAUAUUCAAUUGCAAUCUUAUUUCAAUCAUAGACAUCUUUUCAUUUUAAUUCUAGCCAAUAGUUAUUUCAAUUUUGGCCAUACAAUCUAAUUUUAAAAUAUUACCUUUAAUGGUACUUGCAUUUUUCAGAUUUGGGGGACCCUAGGUCGAUCCCCAUCACCCCCAUAAUAUUUUCUUUCUUUUCCCUCCUCUCUUUCUUGUUUAAGGCAAAGAGAUUGGGGAUCAAUCCCCCACAAACUCAUUCUUUUUCUCUUAAAUUUUUUCUCUUAACUUUAUCCAAGAGGUUGUGAGUCAAUUCCCACUCACCUAAUUUUAUUUUUCUCUUUUAUAUUUCUCCUAACUAUCUCAUAUAUUCAAGAGGUUGUGGGUUCAAUCUCCACUCACCUCAUUUAUUUUCUUUCAUUUUUCUCUCCUAAUUCUCUCCUCUAUUCAAGAGGUUGUGGGUUCAAUCCCCACUCACCACAUUUUAUUUUUCUCCUUUAUUUUUCUCCUAACUCUCUCAUCUAUUCAAGAGGUGGUGGGUUCAAUCCCCACUCACCACAUUUUAUUUUAUUUUCAUUUUUCUCAUUAACUUUUUAUGUAAUUUGCAUUUGGUGAGGUCUUGGGUUCAAUUCCAAUGACCUCACAAUUUUUAAAAAUUUUAAAGCAUAGCUCACUUUUCAAAGUUUUGCUCGAAAUUUUGUCUCUUUCAAUGCAUCUUUAUCUCAAGUUUUAAUGUUGAUGAUUCUUGGAGUAAUUCGGGUGACAUUUUUCCAGCAACAUUACCCUCAUAUGAACAUCGAACUUUUAACAUAUACAUAUACGAAAACACAACAUUUACAGCACACAAAUUUUAGGCAGCAACAUAGUUAAUUUACAGCGCACCCAUUCUCAAAUAAUUAACGUAAACCACUUUUCUGGAAUACAUCUUUCAUUCCUUACAUAAUUUCCAAAUACACAUUCAAUACAUAAUAACAACCAGACCUAAAAUUAUCUACCAGAAGAUUUACUAACGCAUACUUUGAAUCUUUUAAAUGAUCUAAUGACAGGGGCAUGCAACGGGGACAACCUUAGUUUUUCAAUUGCGAUUAAACUGAACCUUAAGGGUCUCUUGGGAAAGGGUCCAAGAGAGAAGAAAACCCAUACCUUAAUGUCAUUCAACACUUGUUUCAAUGCUUCCUUUUCCCAUGACACCACUGCCUCACCACCGAAAUGGAAAACCCAAUCCGUCCAGAAGAAUGUUGUUGAUUUUUGUGUUUAGCUUAGAUUUUCGUUUGAGUUUUUGUGUGUAAGUUCUUCAAGAGUGAAGAACUAUUAUUUUCAGUUCUUUUUCUGAUGAAAAAAGUGAGAAUGAGAGUGAGAAACGUGUGAUUAGGAUUAGGAGAGUUAGGUGGAGACUUGGUCAAACUUGGACUCCCCAUUAUUUUUAUUUAUUUAUUAUUAUUAUUAUUAUUAUUAUUAUUAUUUUAUUAAAAAUCUGAUUUUACAAUAAAUUAAUUAAAUCAUUGCUUCCACCAAGGCUCGAACCCGGGUGGAGCAAGAUUUUGCUUGAAGGGUCAAUUUCAGCCACCUCUACCCAAAUUUCCCCUUAACCAUAUUAAUUAAUUAAUUAAUUAGGAUAAUUACAAUACUACCCUUAGCUUGGAAAAGAUCAUUUUACCCCUAGACCCUCCAAACUUAAUAUUACCCCUUUUUAAGUUUUGUUAAGACUCAUCCGGGUAAAUCUUCAUAUUCGGGUGUCCUACAUUGCUGGACCCAACUUUUCCUAGCUCAACUAACUCACCAAGUUAGUUGGCUUGGCUGUUGCAGAGGUUCAAAAGUCUGGUUCUACGCGCAUCAAUCCAUAUGAAACCAGUCUAAUCUAGGCAUUCUUGAUACAUUUGACAUCACUUGGCGUAGUCAUUUUUAGGGUUGUUACACUAGUCUACCCAUUCUCACUAUCUUCUAACUUAGUGCAUCUGCAACUACAUUAGCCUUACGUAGAUGAAAUAUGAUUGUCACGUCAUAAUCAUUGUGUAACUCCAUCAUCCUUCAUUGUCUAAAAGAUCCCUUAAGUGAAAACAUGUUGGAGAUUGUGAUGAGAAGUAAAAACAUUACACUUGACACCAUAAACGUAAUGCUGCAAGAUCUUAAAAAGAAAACAAUACUACACUUGACACAAUAGAGGUAUUAAUGCCAACAAGUCUUCAGAGCACACACUAGUGUUGCCACUUAAAUCAUGUGUUGGGUAUUUUCUCUCAUUCACCUUAAAGUACCUCGACGCAUAAUCUGUAAAAUUCUUAUCCUUCACUAAACACAACACCCAAACCCAAAGGGAAAGCAUAAGAAUAAACAUUAAAAUCCUUACAUUUUACUCAUAGUGCUAGAAUAUGUGUUGUGGUAAAAUGAAACUUGAGCUUUUAAAAGGUCUCAUCAAAUUUUUUGGUUCAUUUGAAAGGUACUUCCUUUUUGGUCAACCUUGUAUGAUGUGUGUCAAUAGAAGCAAAGUCAUUGAUGAAUUUUCAAGAGUAGUUAGAGAGCCUAAAAGGAUACUCAAUUCAAGCACAACUUUUGUUUCCCAAGAAAACGUAGAAAAAUACAAAGAUGGUCAACAUGCACCUUGUUACUUGUCAAAUGAACUAAAAUCUCAACAAUAAAUACUAUGAUAAUCGAAUCAAGAAAUGGUUUGAACACACCAUUAGUCAAACUCAUGAAAACUACAGAAGCAUUUGUCAACUCAAACGAUAUAACUAAAAACUCGUAGUCCCCAUAGUUGGUCCUAAAUGUCAUCUUCAGUACAUAUUAAGGCCUAAUCUUUAACUGAUGAUAGCCAAAACUUAUAUCAGUAUUAGCGAAAACCGAUGUACCUUGUAACUGGUUGACAAGAUUAUCCAUCCGAGGCAAUUAGUACUUGUUUCAAAUUUUCACCCUAUUCAAUUGCCGGUAAUCUAUGUAUAUCCUCAUAAUACAAUCCUUUUUCAUAACAAACAAAAUAGGAGCACCUCAGGCAGAUGCACUAGGAAAGAUGAAACUCUUAUCAAUAAGUUCUAUGGUUUGAGUCUUAAUCACUCUCAGCUCUACCGAGGACAUGCAAUACAAAGGGAUGAAAAUGGAGUGAGUAACAAGUUCCUAAUCAAUGCAAAAAUAUAUAACCCAUUCGGAGGCAUACAAGGAAAAUUGGUAAGGAACAUUUUUCUAAAUUAUGACAUCAGAAUAAUGGACUCUUAGAGGUAGACUCAACCUUCACAUCUCAAAUAUGAGCCAAAUAUGCAAAAAAAAUCGUACAAGUUUCCUAGACCGAAUGGGGGAUAUGACCUUAUCUAGUUUAGGCUUGUACACCCCUUCGCACUCUAACUUUUUCCUAAUGGGGAUCUCUAGAGUUACAUACUGUUACAAUUCACUACUAAUUAAUAGGGGGAAAACCAAGUCAUGCUAUCAAAGACAGUCAUAUCCGAAAUAACCAUAUCAUCCCAAGUCUUAAAACACAUAAACAAGAUUGGAAAAGCAUGAUAGACAUUGGUGACGAGAGACUCUCCAACUUGGGUAGAAACAUGGAUGGAGGCAUUAAGCCUAUAAGAUAUCAUAUGAAAUCCCAAGGAAAUCUAAACAGACACAUAAAAAUAAGUAGAACCAGGAUAAAAUAACACAUUAGCCAUCCGUCACUGACAAGAAUAGUACAUGUGAUGAAUGCAUCAGACGACUCCACCACGGUCUUGCCUAAAAAGGCAUAAUGCUGAGCCUUGUCAUCAUGAAAGGCAACUUCCAUGCAUGGCUGCAUUGUACUUGAGUAUGUGUUACCAUUUCCCCAACCUCCACGGCCUCGCUGAUUUCCUCCUUGCCCAUCUUGCGAAUGUCCUCGACCAUUAUUAACAUUUACCACGGGCACCACUAGUAUAGUUUGUUGUUGCACGAAAUCCACACGCACGAUUGGGGAAAAAUCUCUUCUCAUGUGCCCAAGCUCCCCACAAUUGUUGAAAGAACAAUCAAAGAUGGCCUUCCUCUAGCAAAAGACGCGACUCCUUGGUUAUCCUUUAUAAUACUUUAAGGUGGGGUUCCCGAGUAAUUAGUUGUAGAAGCCAGCAUAGCAGACUAAUUUUGUCGGGCUUCAUGUAUUGUCCCCCUAGAACCUCAGCAGUGGAAACCUUGGAAGUUAUUUAUUCUCUUAGAUUUAUUAGACAACUCCUUAGCCUUCCCAUCGCGCCUCACCCCUUCAACUUUCUUCACAAAAUUUGCUGACUCAUUAAAAAAUUUAUGCAGAAGUCACGUGCACAGACAAUACAUGUAACUCAGAGUUUAGUCCCUUAGUAAGUAGACAGAUCCUCUAUUCAUCAGUAGUCACCAACAUAAAACAUGAAACCUAACCUCAUAAGAAUCCUUAAAAUAUCACCUUGAUUCAAAGCCAUGAACUCAUCUUUUUUAUGAUAUCACAAGAUUUGUGGCACAUAGUUCUCCAAAAGUGAAGCAUGAAACUAGGUCCAAGUGAGUGGGGGUAAAGCUGAUGGACAAUACCCAAAUUAUGCAGCCACUCAUAAUAAUUUAAAAUGAACUCAUAAGCGUCCUUAACCAGACCCAACAAAGGACAGAAGAAAGCAUUAGUACAUACAUUUCAGCACUUCUUGCGGACAAUGAUAGCAAUAGGGGGAUUGGCGGGAGCUUGAGUUGCUUAAAUUGUGGGAAGAACUUAAGGACCAACAAUUUUUUUAAGGAACGACAUAAUCUAUUUAGCUAACACUGGGUCUAAGGGAGGAAUACUUCUAGUCUCAACCUACACAUCUUCCCCUUUCUAAAAUGUCCUCAUCAUUCUUAACCAAUUGGAAUCAAGUCAUAGCAAAAAAGGAGACAAGAGAAAAACAGAGAGAUUUCCUUAAGUCUUAUAGCCUCUCGAAGAAAAGUACAUAUGUCUUUGUACCAUUCCACAAUAUUUUGCUAGAAUCGUUAUGGUACACCGAGAUGAAUGAACGUAGGACUUUGAUAUCAACUUUGUCGUGACCCAUUUUGUCAUGAUUGGUACCAACACUAAACCUUUGGUGGGAUAACCAUUAAUACUAAUUAGCUAAACCAAUAACUAAACACUUCAAGAUACGAAUGUAGGUUUAAAUGAAAGUAUCAAAUAGAGCUCCCAUAAAGUUUAAACGUUCAAAUAAAAUAUACCAACUAAUGUGGAGGAAUAAACCCUAGAACUUGAAAGUCAAUGAACCAAAACAUCUAAAGUUCAACAAGUCAAAAUUAAUAGGUGCAACAAAAUUAAACAUACAUAUAUCUAACUAGAAAGUCCGAGUCCAAAAGAAUGGACUAAACCAUAGAGAACUCAUGGGAGACUAGAAGAUUUGGCUCACCCUUGAAUUUGAUUGAUUAGUGAUCUCUUAGAUGAGGUAUGUCAAUAACCUUCUGAAGAUGCCUUGUACUCAACAAGGAAAGAGAAAGUCCAGUAUCAAUACAAACCACAAUGUACUAGUAGGAUCACACAGCUAUCCUAGUAAGUGAAAGAUAUACAAGCAGUCACAACAUAGUAAAUACACAAAUACCGAACCUAUACAAUAUCAAUUAUCAUUCAGGACCUAUGCACCAUUCGACAUUUUCGAUGUCAAGUAAUUACACAUAUACGAAAAGGGAACGGUCCUCCCAUGGAACCCACAACCAAAUUGAUAGUAUACCAGAAUGUGCCACCCCAUCCCAAUUAGUGUGUCGGACGUGACACUUUGUCCCAUACGUGCACUGAUACAUGACAAUUGAUACAAGUUAGCAUGCUGGAACGUAACAUCUGAUUCAUUCAACAAGCAACAAUCACAAUGUACAUUCUCGUAGUCAUACAAUAAAGUGUUCAUUCAUGGCAUACAAUAAUAUUUUUAUACUCAUUCAUAUUUGAUGAUCAAAAGUGGAAAAUUUGCAUGUAUACAUGCAUUAUAAUGAAGCAAAUACUCACAUACAUUACACAAACAUGAAAUCAAACCAUCACCUACCUUGAAAUCAAGCUUGAAUCCUCCUAAGAUGUUUGAUUUUUCCCUUUCCGGAUUCUUUCAACUCGUUCUAGGUUUACAAACAAAUAAUUCAAUACCGGGAUCAAUACUUGAGGCCUAAUUACCCGGAUUAUGACAAACCCAAUAACUUAAGAUCGAAAUUAUGAUCCUAAGGUGCAGUUAGAGCUUUUUCCACCAUCAAAAUUAGUUCAAAACCCUCACUAACAAUAUAUGAUCAAGAUUCAAAAAAUUUAUUAGGAGAGUAGAAUCCUUACCUUCCUCCCCCCCCCCCCCCAAAAAAAAGUAGUGGAAAAGAUUAAAAAAUCACUUUAAGUCAUCUCCUAGCUCAUAAUAAGGAGAAAUGCAGAAUAAUGGCAUUUUUGGGGUUUAUUUCCAAGGAAGUUACAACAAGCCCGCUAUGGCAUCCCACAAACCAUCACAGCGGCCUCGCCAUGAUGGGAAUAUUCCCGCAGUAGUAUCUUGCACAGAAAUGCCUUCCAUUACAAAUAUACAUUUAGAUUUUUUAUGUUUAUAUUCUGAGUUAGAAUUUGUAUUUCUUGCUAAAUAUGACAAUUAUUUUUUGAUAUAUGUGUCAUCCCUAUUUGAUUAUGUGUAUUUUUGUUCUUCUUGUAAGAAUUGCAGUUGUAGGCAUUGAAAAUUUGUUAGACUCUCAAAGACAUGUUCAAUUCUAGUGAGGAUUCUGCAAGAUGAAUUUUAUCCUAACUAGGAUUAUUGUAGGCUAACCAACCCUAACCACUAGCUCAAAGGGUACUAUAUUCCCAUUAAAAGGGAUCUCAAAUAUUUCAUAAAAUUAAUGGAAUAUUCAUAUAGAGGUCCAACCAUAAUUGUUCUAGUUCGAUCAAUAUGCCACUAAUGGUCCUCGAAUUAUGGAAAGGGUCUAGAAUUUAAGGGAGGAAAAAAAUGUGCCUACAAUAUUUAUAAAAAAAAAUCAAUUCUUCUUAUAUUAUUGUGAUUGAAAUUUAUUUUUUGUCACUUAAAAAUUUAUUCCUAACAAAUUGACAUGCCCAGUGGGAACAAAUGUACUCUUUAUCUCUUCUCUAAUAAAUCAAAUCUACUAUAAAAAUUCCCAUCGAGAAAAUAAUAAUAAAGAACGAAAAACUAUGCAACAAUCCUUUUAAUUAUUUAAAGUGCAAAUUUUACAAUCUCUAUGAUUCCUAUGAAUUUUCCAUUACAAAUACAUAUGGCCUCUUGAGCUUGAUCUCUAAUUUUCUUGAACGUGAACUUUAUGGUUGAUCUUGGAUUCAAGGAUUUUGGAGAUUGUCCUUGAAUAUUUGACUUUAACUUAUCGUGAUCUUGAACUUUAUCUUGAUCUUGAUUUCUAGUUGAAUACAAGAGCUUUGAGCUUGGUAUUAAAUCCGGUGAUCUUUAUCUUGAUCGUUCUUGAUCCUGGUCUUCUUUAACUUGAACCCUUGAGUCCUUGAAUUUUCAGUUCUUGAAUUUGAAUUCUUGAACUAUUAAACUUUUAGAUUGUAUAGAAAUUUGUUGCUUUUGAUCAACGAGUUAUCUCUAACUUUAUGUUAGAAUUAAUUGUUCCUUUUCUGAACUAUGAGGACACUUAGUCAUAUUUAUAGAAUAGAGGAUUGGUGAUAGAAAUAGAAUUCCCUUCGGCUAAUCAAAUUUAAGUGACAUGGCAUAUCGAGUUUAUGAAGAAGACUUGAACUGAAUCCAUAUUUUUUGGAUUUAAGUAAUUAACUCAAUUAUAUUAAUCCGUAAUAUUUAUUUGAACUAAUAAACUCAUAUUUAAGAUAAUCUUAAUCUAUUUAUAAAUUUAUAUAUAAUAAAUUUUAAUUGAUUACAAAUGUCACAUGCUUCAUGUCUUUUCGAGAUAUUGUAUAUUUCAAAGACUAGGCUUGAAGAAUUUGAAGAUUUAAAGUUGCACACAUAAAUAAUUUUGAAGACUUCGUCUUGCAGACUUGUUGAAUUUGAAGAUAUCAACUUGUAGGCUUGAAGAAUUUGAAGACUUUAAAACUUGUAUAUUGAAGAAUUUGAAGACUUCAACUUGAAGUCUUUAUAAAUUUGUAGACUUUAACUUGCAAACUUGAAGAAUUAUAAGACUUCAACUUGGGACCUUGGAGAAGUUGAAGACUUCAACUUGUAGGCUUGAAGAGUUUGAUGACUUCAACUAGCAAAUUUAUAGAUCUGCACAGUUCAAAUUUUGAAACAACUCAUAUUCACAUGAGUUUUCCCCCAUUGAAUUACCACUAUUUGGUGCAUGUCUGAAGUUUAAUGAAAGAUUACUCACAUUUUUUAAUUUUCACUAGACAGAUCAAGUGAGAACAUUUCAUUUUUUACACUCAUGCAACCAAACAUAAAAUAUAGUUCUAAGGGAGUACAUACCUCUGUAAAGAGGAUAAAACCACAAUGUAGUUCUGGAGAGUAUUUUGUGUGUCGUAUAAAUUUUAUACUCUUGUCGGCCAUGAAUGACAUUCCAUUUAUGUCGUACCGUAAGGAGUAUUUUUUUAUUGAAGCUUUACUCGUUUGAAGAGCUUUAUGAUAUAAAGUUUAGGCAAACACUUGAAGAAAUAUUUCAACUCAAAGAUUUAACUCAAAUUUGAAAAACUUUGUGAUAUACAUCUUAAAAUCAUGUUUAUAGGAGUACUAAAACUAUAAAUUUAACUCAAAUUUUAAGAGCUUUAUGAUUUACAGUUUAAGCUCGUGUUACAAGGAGCAUUUCUAAUUGUAGAUUUAACUCAAAUUUGAAGAACUUCGAGGCAUUCAGUCUAAGCCCAUGUUUCAAGGAGCACUUAAACUUGAACAUUUCACUCAAAUUUGAAGAUCUUUCAAGAACUUAAUGAUUUACCUCAAAUUUGAAGAGCUUUGUGAUAUAAAGUUUACGCUCGUGUGUCUAAGAGCAUUAUAAGUUUCAGUUUAGGCUCAUGUGAUGAGAAACAUAAUUACUUGAAAUUUAAGCUCUUGUGAUAAGGAGCAUUAUUACUUGUACUUUAAGAUCAUACGAUAGGGAGCAUUGUAACUUGCAGUUUAAGGUCAUGCAUUAAGGAGCGUUUUAACUUGAAGUUUAAUCUCAUGCAUUAAGAACGUUGUAACUUGCAGUUUAUCUCAUGUGAUGAGAAGCAUUGUAACUUGCAGUAUAAGCUAAUGCGUUACUGAGCAUCAUAACUGGCAAUUUAAGCACAUGCAUCAAAGAGCGUCAUAACAUUCCGUUUAAGCUCAUGCAUUAUGGAACGUCUAGAUAUAUAUACUCUUCAAAGUUAUCUUUAGAUGCAGACUUGUCCCCACUUUAAAUUUCUUCUAUAUCUUCAUCUUUAUGAGUUUCAUAGACAAGAGAUUGUUGAUAUUCUUUUAAAGUCAUUCUUAAUUCUAUGUCAUGUGCACGACCAUUCAACUCUUCAAAUGUAUUGAGAUUUAAUCCUGGAAAAAUAUAGUGAAGACCCCAAUUAAUUUCUUGGAUGCGCAAGUCAAUGCUAGACACGUAGUCAAUCUUUCCAGUUCAGGCUCGGACUGCUCCAGCGGUUAAUAGAGUCAACAAAUACAUUACUUUAACCGUGAAUAUCUUUAAUAAGUGUAAUUACAUGUUCCCAUAAAUAUAGAAAAGUCAACAUGAAAAAAUUUUGGGCCAAAAAACCUUUUCGUACUACUUAGAAUUUUCCAACCUAGUGAAGAUUUGAAGAAAAUUGGACUGUGUAAGGUUAAGGGGAAUAUGGUAAAUGUUGGGUGAUGUAAUUAUGAUUCUGAUCACAUGAUAGAUAUCUAAGGCAUUAAGGAAUCGUUACGAUUUUACGUAAUUGAAUUCGGGCGAGUAGAACUCUCAAAAUUGAUCUUAACGUGAACGGGUAGUUUCUGAGUGUAAUUGGUUGAAGUUGUAUUGUUAAAUGAGGGUUUUAAAAUUAUAUAUUUACCUCAUCGUUUCUGUGCAAUAUGCUAAUGCGAGAUUUUCCUGCCAAGGCUUGGAUGGUGUAAAAUGGUGAGGGCCUCCAUAGUGGGACAGUCACUACAUAAGUCGGAAAUAAACUGCAAAAAUAUUUUAUUCUGCACUUUUAAACUUUGAGUGCUAAGAGAUGACCUCAGGUGCUUUCUUGAUAGUUUUCACCAUUCAUAAGGCUAAAGGUAAGGUUUUAACACAUUGAAUCCAUUAUUUUUAUUCGUAAAAGUAAUCUAAUGGGUAAUUAUCAAUUGAGAAGGGUUUUGAUUUGAGAUCUGUGGUGGAAAAGCCCUAAUUGAAAUGUUGGUAUACUGGGUUUGAUCUAGAAUUGAAAGAAUUGUAGGUAGUCUGGAUAAUUAGUUAUUGCUUAUUAAUUCAUUUGUUGUACUAAUAGUUUGUAGACCAAGAAUAAGAGGAACGAAUUCGGAAAAGGGAAGAAUCAAGUUACUAAGGGGAUUCAAGCUUUGUUUGAGAUAGCUGAUUGUUGUGAUUUCAUGUCUUGAUAUGAACGUUUGUUAAUACAUGUAUGUAUGCGAAUUUUGGAUUAUUUAUCACACUAGUUGUAAAUGAGAUAGUUUAAUGAUUGAAUUCCAUGAAUCACAACUUGGUGGUAUGACUUUGAGAAUAUACAUAUGAUUGUGAGUAUGGCUUGUUAAAUGUAUCAGGUGUAGCAUUCCGACACAUGAACAAGGAUCGGUUACCAACAUUUCGGCAUAAACAUGGGAUUUAUUGCCACAUUUUGGCAUAAACAUUGGAUUGGGUACCAUGUAUUGGUAUCCUAAUAGUUUGGGUUUAGGUUCUUGGAGAUGACCAAUGACUUGACAUUAUUGUAUAUCUUGAGAUUGGGAAAAUGUACGAUGUUUCACAAAUGAUUUUGAUAUUUAAUAUGUUCGAUGUGUGUAUGUUAUACUGUGUUGUAAGGGCUUAUAUAUAUCGGACUAAGUGGAUAAGCGCGUGAUCUUACCAGUUCAUUGUGGUUGUGUAAUGAUACUGCACUUUCCCAUUCGUUGUUGAGUACAGGGCAUGUUCAAGAAGCUAUUUACCUACAUCGCUUAGAAGAUUUAUGAUCGUAAUCAAAUUUAAGGGUGAACAAGUUCUUCCGGGCUGCCAUGAGUUCUCUUUUCUGUCUAUGUCUACAUUUCAGACUUAGACUAGCCUUUAGGUUAGCUCUAUGUUAGUUUGGGGUUGUACCCCUUCUAUUUUAGACUUAUGAUUUAACUUUAGAUGUUUUGGUAAGAUUACUUUCAAGUGCUAGUCGUUUUUUAAACAUUUAUUUUGUUAGACUUUUAGAGUUUAUGGAAAUUGUAUUUGUUUCCUUGGCAUAUAACUUUCUUCUAUACUUAAAUGCCUUAGUAUGUUGGGAGAAUUUUUAGUUUAGGUUGUAGUAAUGGUUUCCCCACUAGCGGGUUAGUGCGAGUGACACUAAUGAUGGUCUAGGUCAUGACAAAGUUGGUAUAAGAGUAAUAGGUUUGUUGAUCUCGAUGUACCAAAAUGAGUCUACUAGAGUGUUAGGGAACGAUACGAAGAUGUCUGCACUUUUCUUCUAGAGACUAUUGGACAUUAAGAAAUCUCUCUAUUUCUCUCUUGUCUCCUUUCGUGUUAUUACUUAGUUUCAAUUGGUAUCUAGGGAUUUAAAUUUGUAUCUAACCUCUUUCACUUUUCUGUCCGCAGAUAGUUAACACUAAAUUCAACGGCGUCAGGCUUGUAGCUCCCUUCAAUGCUCCCGUUGAGGAAUUUGUAGUGAGAGGUCACGGUUGAGACAGGGUGUAAGAGGCUAAGAAAGCAUAACUCCUACUAGAGAUUGAGCACCAGUUGAAAAUGUUCCUCCGAAUGAGGCUCCCCAUUCCAUUAUAAAGAGAUAUAAGAGAAUAUUGAGGUUGAGAAUGAUGAGGAUGUUGGACAAGUGUAAGAGGUGAAGGUUGAGACUACAAGUAUUCUUCCCUUUGACCCAGUGUUAGAUCAACAGAUCAUGUCAUUUUUGAAAGGAUUGGUUGGUCCAGGAGUGCUUCCACCUGUUCAAGCAACUCAAUCUCCCGCCAAUCCCUUUAUUACUAUCAGUACUCCCAUGGUGGGUGAAACUGUUCGUAUGGAUGUCUUCUUUCAUUCUUAGUUGGGUCCUGUUAUGACAAGUAAUGAGCAUGAGGUAUUGACUAUGUUCUUGAAGUUGAAACAUCAUGUGUUUCAUUGUUCCGAGAGUGCGGAUGCAUAUGACUUCAUCCUAGAUUAUUAUGAGAGGCUUCAUAAAAUUGGGAUUGUCGGUUAGUGUGGGGUAGAGUUUGUGACUUUUCAGCCUCAAGCUAAGGCUAACAGUGGAGGAGAACAUAUGUAAUGCACAUCUUCAGUUUUACCACCACUUACUUGGACUCAGUUUCAUGCCCUAUUUUUAGAGAAAUAUACGUGUCUCGGACUUUGGUUGAUCAUAAGAAGGAAAGGUUGUAUGUUUGUGGAGCAAAGUUGUAUGUCUGUGGCUGCUUAUCAUCCUACAUUUCAUUCUUUAUUGAGAUAUGCUACGCAAUCGGUGACUACUGAGGAAGAGAGGAUUUGUUUAUUUACUAAGGAACUAAAUGAUGAGUUACAAGUAUUGUCUGUUCAUAUGAACUCUGUAGGUAGAACUUUAAAGGUAAUAAACUUUGUGAAGAAAGUGAAGGGGUUAAGGAGAGUCGGUUAGGCUAAGGAAUUGGCUAAGAGGGCCAAAAACUCGGGUAAAUUACAAGGUUCUUACUCGGGUAAAUUACAAGGUUCUUACACUAGAGGAACAUGGAGGCCAACACUUGCAGCCCGGUCAAUUCAGUUCACUAUGCCCACUUAUGCAGAUAAUUACUGAGGAACUCCACCUUAUAACAUGAUUCAAUAUAGCUACGGAGUUGCACUUUCGGUGGAUAGCAGUCCAUCUAUUGAUCAUACUUGCUAUAACUAGGGAGAAACUUGGAAAAUUAGAAGAGAUGAUCUCCACCCAUGCGUGAUGGAUUCCGCACAGCAGUAGACUAGAGUAGUGGUACCCGUGGAAAAUUGUAAUACUUGUUGAGGGUGUCCAUAAGGUGGGAAAGGAGGAAAUCAGCGAUGUCGCGAAAGUAACAGAAACGGUAACAGAGGCUGAGGUACAGUGUAGCAAGGCAGGAAAGUCGCUCAACACGAUGAUAGGGAUCAUGUUACGACUUUCAUGCAAGAAUGAGGCAGAAGAGUUUGAGGGAGUGAUCACAUGUACUAUUCUUUUAAAUUUUUUUCUGUAACUGGAUGGACAAUAUGUUAUUUGACCUAGUAUCUACUUAUUAUUAUGUAUCUAUCUGUGUUAUUUUCCUCAGAGUUUGAUAUGACUUGUGACUUGAUGCCCCUAUCCAUGUUUCUACCACAAUUGGAGAGUCUGUCACAGCCACACAUGUGUAUCGUGCUUGUCUUAUUUUGUUUAUGGGUUAUUAGACUUAAGCUCAUUUGGUGGUUUUUGGUAUGACUGACUUUGACAUAAUCUUAGGCAUGACUUGGUUGUCGCCCUAUUAUGUUGUGCUUACUUGUAAUAAAUACUAAGUAUGUGACUCUAGAACUCCGGGAAAGGGAAAAGUAAGAGUGGGAAGGCGUGUACAAGUCUAAGAAAGCUAAAAUCAGAACCUCCAUUAAAGCUAGAAAGCUGGUAGGGCAUGGUUUUUUGACUUAUUUGGCUCAUAUCCGAGAUGUUUAAUGUGAGUCUACAUAUAUUGAGUCAGUUCCUAUGGUUACAUAAUUCAAAGAAGUGUUUCGUAAUGAUUAGCCUAGUAUGCCUACAGAUAGAGAUAUAGAUUUAUGCAUUGAUUUAGAACCUAGUGUGCGUCCCAUUUCUGCCACUCCAAAUUGCAUGGUUCCAGUAGAAUUGAGAAAGUAAAGGCUCAAAUCCAAAAACUUUUUGAUAAAUGAUUCAUCCGCCCUAGUGCUUCCCUCUGGGGUGCUCCAAUCUUGUUUGUUAAGAAAAAUGAGGGUAGUAUUAGGAUGUGUAUGAAUAUCGGCAAUUGAGUAGGGUCACCAUUCGGAAUAAGUAUCCAUUCCCUCUAAUGAAUUAUUCUUUUACAAAUUACAAGGUGCAUCCUUGUUCUCUAAGAUUUAUCUAAGAUCUGAUUACUAUUGGUUGAAGAUUAGGCAUGAGGAUGUGAUAAAUACAGCAUUUAAAACUCGUUAUGGGCAAUACAAUUUUUUGGUGAUGUCAUUUGGGUUGACUAAUCUGCCCCCAACUUAUAUGAUUUUGAUGAAAGGUGUGUUCAAACCAUUUCUUGAUUUAUUUGAUUAGUCUUUAUUGAUGACAUUUUGUUCUAUUCAAUAAGUGAAGAAAAACAUGUCGACCAUCUUCGUAUUAUUUUGGUUGUUCUUGGGAAUCAAACAUUGUAUGCUAAAUUUUCUAAGUGUUAAUUUUUGUUAACUUGAGUUGAAUUUUUGGGGCAUGUACUUUCAAUAUAAUGGGUAAUGGUAGAUCCCGAAAAGAUAGAGCGAUCAAGAAUGGGACACGCUAGCUACUAUCAUAGAUCUAUGAAUGUGACACACCGAAAGUAUAAUGCUUAACUAGAGCCUCACAUGAUAAACUAGACCUUGUACUAUUUUUUAUGACCUAAAAUAAUAUUUAAAAAUCAUUUAAGAAGUUUUAGAGUCAAGACGUCAAGGAACAUCCAUGACGUCUAGUAAAUUGUGAAAUAUAAAUUAGUGUGCCUUAGCCUAUUUCACGGGGUUUUAGGAGUUGAAAAUUGAUGAAAUAUGGUAGAAAGGUGUGAAACAUGUGUUAAAGUGUAUUUAGGAUCGAAACUUCCGCGUAUGACUCACCAAGGACCACCCUAAGGGUCCUUGGAGAGAACCCUUGCAUUUGACCCCAAUCUGCAAAAAAAGGCAGUAGCCACCUACGAUUGCAGGCGACGAGGCGUGGGUGGGACGAUGGGGCGCCGAUGCCUCCGUCGUUCAACACAUAGACAUUACCAAAAAUGGACAAAAAAAAUCAUAGUUUCUGACACAAACGAUGGUUGAGAAAACGGUUGGUGCAGUGGGUGUUGACUGACCUAUAGACUGUAGGUCGAGGUCUCGUAGGUCAAUCCUAGCUUUGCUGUGAUGUUUCAAACUUGGCUUCACCAGAAAUAUGCAUCUCUUUGGUAUUUAUUAGCUUUGUGCAAAACUCUACUCCGUCUUGAAUUUCACGAAGCUAUAAAGGUGCUUGACUCGAUAUUCUCUCAAUGAAGUCAUCCAUCUUAUUUGUUCAUGUGUGCAUCUUCUCAAGCCUUCAAUCACUUUUGUCAAGCUUUCUAGUUGGUAGAAAUCAUUUUGAUAUUAUUUGAUGCUUGAAAAGUUGAGAUAAGAGGUAGAGUUUGUCCACUGGGCGUGCCAGAAUUUUUCAACAAUAAAAUUCGCGUGGAGAAAUUAAUUUUCAAGAAUGGAAAAUUAUGCAACAAUCGUUUUAUUGAUUUAAAGUGAGAGUGUUAAAAUCUUUAUGAUUUCUAUGAAUCCACCUUUUCAAAUGUAAAUUCAAGGGAUCUUAAUCUUGAUCUUUAAUUUUUCUUAAACUUGAACUUUAUAUUGAUCUUAGAUUAAGGGCUUUGCAGUUUGUUCUUGAAUUUUUGAUGAACUUGGACUUUAACUUUAUCUUAAUCUUGACAUUAAUUUUAUCUUGAUCUUGACUUAUAGUUGAAUGAAUACAAGGUUCGAGCUUGAUCUUGAAUUCGUUGGUCUUGAUCUUGAUCGUUCUUGAACUUCAACCCUUGAAUCCUUGAAUUCUUUAAUUCUUAAACUUGUAGCUUGUUGAGAAAUUUGUAGUUUUUGAUCCACACGCUUUCUCUAGAUUCUUGUUAAAAUUUUUGUUCCUUUUCUGAAUUAUGAGGACUCCUAUUUAUACUUUUAGAAUAUAGGAACUGUGAUAGGAAUAUGACUCCCUUCGACCUAUAAGAUUUAAAUGACAUGACAUAUGAGCUUUGUGGAGUGAGCUUUAGUUAAAUCCAUUUUUUUAAGAUCCAAACAAUCAACUCAAUUAUAUUAAUCCAUAAUAUUUAUUUGAACUUAUAUAUUCAUGCAUUUAGGAUAAUCCGAAUUAGUUUAUAAAUUUAUUUUUAAUAAAUUUUACACUAUUAAGAUUGUAAUGUGUUAACUAAAAUUUGAGGGAAAGCUUUUUAAAAGGUUUCUAAAUUAUUUUUAGACAUAUAAUUUACAUUUGUUGAUAAAUAUUUAGUACACUUAUUAAAAUACCUUAUAUUUAGUUGUUUUAUUCAAGAGAUGGUAGCAUAGAUCUUUAAUGAAUUUUUUUAUUGUACCUUCAAUAAUUUGAGUAGAGAAAUCUUAUGUGAAUACUCAAUUAUCGUGUGUUUUCUAAUUUGUACUUAUAGAAACUUGUGAGAAUAACUUUGUAGAAACAUAAGCCACAAAGUUUAAAACAUGUACUAUAUCAUAAACAUAAAUUAAUGACUAUAAAAUACAUAUCAGGAUCAGUAACAAUAGAAUGAAACAUGACGGAAAAAAUUGAGUCCAUUAAAUGUACAGUGUCACCUUAAGAUAAUUAUUCUCCUCUUGUACCCAAGGAUUAAUGGAAUAGAUCCUCUCGGGAUGGAACUAUUCUAUUCAUAAGUGUAAUGAUAUAAAAAUAAUGAUGUUAUUGAGCCACUCAACAUGAGCAAAGUACACGAAUAAUUAACUGUGCAAAAGAAGAACAAGAAGUUCAGAAUUUAUAUUGUUUUAAAAUUUAAAAAAUGAGAAGAAAUCUGGCUAUUUACAUAGAAUAAAUAAAUGGUAGUGUAAACAAAUGUUUAUUGUGACGUAUCGGAAAAGUCACUACUCUUUGAAAAAGUUACAACCAAAGGUCAUAAAAUUUCGUAAAAAUCACAACUCUUCAUAAAUGUCACUAUUUUUUACAUGAAAGAGGAAUACUAAUUUUUAAAAUAACUAAAUUAACAGUUAAUACUUAUUUGUGGUGGCGUCACAUAGUUGCAAAUAAAUAAAUUAAAAGGGAUCUUAUAAUUUAUUUAUGAAUAACAUAAACAUAACUUAAUGAUUGUAGAAAUACAUAGAUGGAUCUGUGACAUAAGAAAUGGUGUUGGUAAGCCACUCAACAUGAGGAAAGUGCACAAACAUUUUAUUGUGAAGAAGAAGAGGUUCAAAAUUUUCGUUGUUGUAAAAUGAGAGGAAAUUCCUCUAUUUGUAGACAACAAAAGAUAAUGUGAACAAAUAUUUACUGUGCCUUAUCAGAAAAGUUAUAAUUAUUUGGAAAAGUUGCAAACCUUCGCGAAGGUCUCAACUUUCCAUAAAAGUCGUAACUUUUAGUUAAAGUCACAAUUUUUAAUAGAAGUCAGAAUUUUUCAUAAAAGUCGCAACAGUUCAUUAAAGUCAUAUUUUUCAUAAAAAAUUUAACUUUUCAUAAAAGUUCCAAAUUUUCAUGAAAUGAAAAGAUCAGUUUUGAAAAUAAAAUAAAUUUAAAGAGAAUCCUGACUUGUAAUGGCACCACAUAGGCGAGCCUAGGGUUCUCCUUUAAAGAUAUACUAGGUAAUUGACCCGCGUGAAAGAAAAUUGACUAUUAUAAUUUUUUUUAAAAUAAGUACAUUUUUCUUGAUUUUUAAAACAUAUCUUGAGAAAUUAAAUGAUUUGACAUUAUGACAUAUCUCAAAAAUUAUAAAUAUACAAUUAAUGAUUAAUAAUAUCUUGAUAUAUAAUAAGUUUAAUCUUUUAUAGGAUUUAUCAUAUUAUAUGUUUGAUUAUAUAAUUGUGUUGUUAAAAUUGAUUCAUGUUUUUGUGUAGCAAUUGGACAUCAAAAUUUUCUUUUUUAUAUACAAUAUAGAGUCUGAUAAAUUUAUGAUUAUCGUAACUCCUUGUAUAAAAAAUAUGAAAGUUUUUGAUAAUCAAUAUUAGUUAUAAAUAAGCAAAGACAGUUAAAAAAUGUACACUACAACAACAUAAAUAAUUUUUAUAGAGACAGUCUACUUGUCUGAGGUCAAAUGUUCUCCAUAUUUUGUUAUUAUUACUUUGUUAUUCUAACAAAAAUUUAUAGAAGGAGAAAAAUAUAUAUGGACAACAGCAAAAUAAUAUUGUUGACCCUUAUAGAAAUUCAUUCUUCGUUAAUAUGCGGAAAGCCCUUGCAGAUGCUUUGUCAAUGCAACUUUACUAAUUUUCCAGGAAUAUGUAUGUAUGAUUGUUGCAUUAUGAAAGAACACAUAGAUUAAAAUAUUCUAUUAUAGACUCAUGUUAAAGAAACAAUCUCAAACAUUAAAAAAUUAAAAAUGAGUCUAAUAUAUAUAAUUCAAACGCUCAACAAUGGCUUGGACAUGAAGGAAAAUGAAUUUAUGCUAAUAGAUAAAUCUUUUGUAGCUUAAGAUAUUACUUUUAUUUAGAGUAGGUUUUGUUUCAUUUUCUUCAAAUUAAUCUUGACAAAAAUAGUCAUAACUUAGGCAAAAAAAUAUUUAGAAGAGUCGAACGAUAAAGGGAAAAAAACUUUAAAAUAACGAAGUUCAUUGUCAAGUGAAGUUAUAUUCGUACAAAAUAAAAAACAAUAAAUUCAGUUGUAAGGGGACAACAAAAGAGCGAGAAAAACACAUUAAAGGGAGUAAAUUGUCACGAUCCAACCUGAUGGGCCGUGACUAGUGCCCGUUUUGGACACUCACAUACAAACCUGUUAAGUAUAACCAACUGAAACUAAGACAAUAUGAAAUUUAAUCAAAUCAAGCCAACCCCAACGCCAUAUAUGUAUAAAAAUGUAUUUGUCUCAUAAGGAGUCAUAACCAUUCAACCGUAACAACAUACGCGAGCCGACAAGGCCACCACUAUCCAAAGCAUAAUAGCAUACGCAAGCCGACAAGGCUGCCACUACACAAUACACAAUGAUGUACGCAGCCGACAAGGCUGCCCCUGUACAAGCGAACAUCCCAAACAAACCAUGUCCGGACCAUUAUUCAAAACAUAUAUAUGCAACCCACAUAAUGUCUACAGACCUCUAAGAGUAUAGUAGUGAAACUCGACAGGACAGGGCCCCGCCGUAUCCAUACACAAGCAAAAGACUACACAGAAAGUUAUUUACCAAAACGACUGGGCUCCAGAGCACUGGAGCUCUCCCAAUCAGCAGAGUAGAUAUCCUAGGCGGGAGGAUCACCAAACGGUGCGUCUACACCAGCGGUCAUGAAACACAGCCCCCCAAGAAAAAGGGGUCAGUACGGACAAUGUACUGAGUAUGUAAAGCAUAAGGUAAAGAUGACAGGAUACCAACAUGAUAAGUCAAAACAAGAUAUCGCUACACGUGUAACUUUUAAGUGAAAAUCAAGCAUAUCUUUAACACAUAAGGUGCCCAGCUUCCCUAGCAAGGGACUCGGCAAAAUAAUCAUCAUAUAUAUACAUCAUACGAACCCGGCCCUCUAGUGAGGGACUCGGUGAAAUAGUUAUCACAUCAUCUCCGUCAUCAUCAUCAUCAUAACCAUCCUCAUCACCAAUCAUAUAUAUAAUAUACAUACCCGGCCCUCUAGUGAGGGACUCAGUGACAUAUGCAAGAAACUCCGCACGAACAUUACCCGGCCUGCAACUCGGUGAAAUGAUAAAUGACUCUAUGCACGAGCAGAAUAUUAUGAGCAACCAUAUGCAAUUAAAAUCAUUUUUUAUAACUCAAUAGAACAAUCAACGUGAACCGGCAAGGGGUAUUACCAAAGAUUAACGUUUUAUCAAGAUUAUGAACCUUUAAUACGAUAUGGAAACGUAAAAUCUCAGUGACUCUAAGAAGCACUACCAUAGAUAUGAGAAAUCACCAUAGACUUAGACAUAGCCGAUAUAUAGAGGAAUAGUUGUGGAAGCAAGAAUAUACGUCACCUAGACGCUCUAGAAGUAAGUAUGAAACUGGUCCGUCAUUCGCUCAUUUUUAAAAGUCAUGCCAAACAAAGAAAGAAAGGAUAGCGUUACAUACCGUAUAGUCGAGCCGCACGUCCAAUAUUUACUGCUCAAGCUAUUAAUCUAUAACAAGCAACAAUCAUGCCGCAAUUAGAUAGACGUCCCGCUUUACUACUUAUUGUAAGCUAGCUAAUAAUCUAACGGAAAUCCGGCAGCACUUCCCCUAUUUUCCUUACUUAGUCCCAAUCCGAUAACAACCCAAAUUAUCCACAGCAAUACCAAUAAAACAUAUAACCCAACGAAUCAUAUUAAACAGCCCCCCCCCUCCCCCAAAACAGUUCCGUCUCGGAAACCAUAGUAAUGAAACAAUGACACACCGAGCGAUAACUCGUUAUAUAAUUUGCAACACAUCUACCUUAUCGUAUUCAUCCUUUUGAGUAUAUACAUGGAAUCACAUUAACAUAUACAUAACUUCAAAAACAAAUUUCCAGCAUUUUGCUUUAAUCAAAACAGCCCAAACACUAACACGACAGCACUAAUAAUCUGACUAUGGUUUCCGUUCAUACUUAGCACAUUCAAUAACUAAAAAAAAUUUCCUUAGCUACUGGUCACGCCCCCUUCUUAACAUUAAUGGCUAAUUAACAAUGGCAUUCUAAGGAAUUAACACACCAAGCAAAGAGAUUACUAACCAAAUUCUUUUGUAGCUGCUAGCCAAGAGUUGCAUGGUUGGUUUUCUCCAUUUCCAUGGCUGUCUAUGAUAAGUGGUGAGGAAGAUGAUAUGUUUGCAAUGCAUUUCACCACCUCAUUCAUAAUAUGAAGUGGAGGCAGCCCCCCUCUACACGUGCCCCACUAAGGGCCAGCUCCCAAUCUGAUUUCUUUGAAUUUGCCUUGAGUGGUGGGGCCCACUUGAUUAAUUUAAUCCUAAUCAGCCACUAAUUAAUCCCUCACAUAGUUAAUGAAACUUAGAUUAGCCAAAUCAUACUUAGUAUCACAUGUGGAAUUAAAAUUCUUGCCUAAUAUUUCUUUAAUCACUUGAAACUUAAAAUAAAAUUUCAUUCCCCGGACUUACAUCUACUAGUUCAUGACGCGCACUACGUAUAAAUAUACGAGGCGUAACAUCCUUCCCCCCUUAGAAGCAUUCGUCCUCGAAUAUUAAGUUAGCGUCUUACAAAAAAAAUUCCAGCAAGGUCUCUCUAACAUUUAUACCUAUCAACCUGCAUUCCGUAACUUAUAGAUGCCUCACAGAGUCAACUUACUACAUAAUAUCGUUUAUUAAUCAAUAUAGUCAAGCUAGGAAUUGAAUUACAUGAAGGUACGGGGAACAAGUAAGGAUACUUAUUCUUCGUUUCGUCUCCGCUUCCCAAGUCAUCUCCUCCCUAUUAUUAUUUCGCCACAACACUUUGAUGGAAGCCACAUCCUUAGUACGUAACCUUCUAACCUGGCGAUCAAGUAUAGCUUCGGGUUUCUCCUCAUAUGACAACUCCAAGUCGGGAUCUUUAUCUCCUGUAACAAUCCACCAGCCUUUUGAUAUUCGAUCUUGACUUUUGACAAUUCGGGCACUGAGCAACAAACUCCGCUAUGUCCUUUUUCAUGCCAUCCCACCAGUAUAAGCAUCUGAGGUCAUGAUACAUUUUCGUCGACCCUGGGUGAAUAGAAUAACGGGCAGAGUUUACCUCUCCCAUAACCUGUCGUCGUAGCCCUGCAAUAUCGGGUACACACAAUCUGCCUUCAUAUCAUAACACUCCGUCAGGUGUAACCUUAAAUGGGGUCUUUUCCUUUUGAAGAGCUGCAUCUCUAUACUGUGCCAGAAAUAGGGUCCUCGUACUGGUGUCUUUUUACCUCAUCUAUGAUUGAGGACUCAGCAACCUCUAGAACAGAAACUCCACUAUUUCUGAAUUAGCCAGACGGACUCCAAGGUUGGAUAGCCGCUGAAUCUCCCGAACCAUCUCCCUCCUUUCUGGUUGUACAUCUGUCAAGCUACCCAUGGACUUACAGCUAAGAGCAUCUACUCAACAUUUGCUUUCCCUGGAUGAUAUAAAAUAUCAACAUCAUAAUCCUUUAGCAACUCUAAACACCGUCUUUGUCGUAAGUUUAGCUCCUUCUGUUUAAAGAUAUAUUGGAGACUCGUAUGAUCUGUAUAGAUGUCCACAUGGACACUAUACAAAUAAUGCCUCCAUAUCUUCAAGGCAUGAACCAUGACUGCUAACUCCAAAUCGUGAGUAGGAUAAUUAUUUCCAUGCUUCCUAAGCUGUCGGGAGGCAUAUGCUAUAACUUUGCCAUGCUGCAUCAAUACACAUCCUAGCUUAACACCCGAAGCAUCACAAUAAAUAACAUAGCCGUCUGGUCCCUCCGGAAGAGUUAGGACUAGAGUUAUAUUCAAUUUGUCUUUCAAUAGCUAGAAGCUUCGCUCACAAGCAUCAGUCCACCGGAACUUGGCUGCCUUUUGAGUUAGCCUUGUCAAAGGCACUGAAAUUGAGGCAAACUUUUCCACGAAUCUCCUAUAGUAUCCUGCUAACUCCAGAAACCUGCGUACCUCAGCAGGUGUCGUAGGUCUGGGUCAAGUCUUUACCGCCUCAAUCUUCUGCAUGUCUACCCGAAUACCAUCAGCUCCAAUAAUAUGCCCCAAGAAUGCCACUGAAGUCAACCAGAACUCGCACUUGGAGAACUUAGCAUACAACUUCUGGUGCGAAAGCACCCUAAGUACCGUCCUUAAAUGGUCUGCAUGCUCCUCUUCUGAACGUGAAUAGACCAGAAUAUCGUCUAUAAAUACAAUAACAAACAUAUCAAGAAAUGGUUUAAACACUCGAUUCAUUAAAUCCAUAAACACCGCUGGAGCAUUAGUUAGCCCAAAAGACACCACUCUAAACUCAUAAUGCCGGUAUCUGGUCCGGAAUGCCGUCUUUGGAAUAUCUGCCUCCCUUACCCGUACCUGAUGAUAACCUGACCGCAAGUCUAUCUUUGAAAAACACUUAGCACCCUGCAACUGGUCAAAUAGAUCGUCAAUCCUUUGGAGGGGAUACAUGUUCUUUACUGUUACUUUGUUCAGCUGCCUAUAAUCAAUACACAUCCGUAGCGACUCAUCCUUCUUCCUCACAAACAGUACCGGUGCUCCCCAAGGUGACGUACUAGGCGUGAUGAAGCCCUUUUCUAGCAAAUCUCUUAAUUGCUCUUUCAACUCAGCAGGUGCCGUUCUAUAAGGAGGUAUAGAUAUAGGUUGGGUAUAUGGCAGUACAUCUAUAUAAACUCUAUCUCUCAUUUUGGAGGAAGGCCUGGAAAUUCCUCUGGGAAUACAUCGGGAAAUUCAUUAACUACCAGGACUGAUUGAAGAGUCGGUGCCUCUGCCUUUAUGUCAUACACCCGAACCAGAUGAUAAAUAUAGCCUUUUCUAACCAUCUUCCUGGCCUUGAGGUAUGAAAUAAACUUACCUUUCAGCGAUACUGUAAUCCUCUUCCACUCUAUAAUCGGUUCCCCUGGAAAUUGAAAUCGAACUAUCUUUCCUCUGCAAUCAACAUUAGCAUAACAAGCAGCCAACCAAUCCAUGCCCAUGAUAAUAUCAAACUCAAUCAUAUUUAACUCUAUUAUAUCUGCUAUGGUACGACGGCUAUCUAUAACCACUGAACAAUUCUUAUAUACUCGCGUAGCUAUGACAGAAUCUCCUACAGGUGUAGCUACCUCAAAUGGUUCUAUCAACUCAGACUCUAUUCCGAUCCUACUAGCAACGAAGGGGGAUAUAAAUGAUAAGGUGGAACCUGGGUCUACCAAUGCAUACACGCUUCGGGAGAAUAGUGAUAAUAUACCUGUGAUCACAUUAGGUGACGCCUCCUGAUCCUGCCUACUAGUCAAAGCAUAUAUGUUGUUCGAGGGACCGCUAGAACUGGAAGCUCCACCACGGCCUACUGGCGCUUGAAUACCCUACCCCGUAGGGCGCAUAUCCACAGAAGAAGAUGAACCAGCAACGGACCCAGUAGGUUGUGCCAUACCACCCUCACUACCUCUAAGGUGACACUCCCUCAUAGUAUGAACCUGACGGCCGCAAGAAAAACAUGCACCUGUAGCCCAAUGACAUUCCCUAGGAUGGGACCUACCACAACGAGAACACCGAGGCAAAGGUGGCCUCGACUGGCUCAAACCCCUGCCCAUCUGUGACCUUGACGCCCUAGAGCUCUUACCAGCUUCCGAAUAUCCCGUACGAUCAAACCCCUUACCCAUGGAACAUAGGGGUGCACUCUGUGCUGGCUGGGAAGAAAAUCUAACAUGUUGCUGAGACUGCCCGCCUCGAAAGUCGUUAGGAUAACCUGCUGAGCCCUCUUAUGCUGGCCUCUAUUAUAAUCUCUAUCUGGCUGACGUCCCCGGUGCCGAUCCUCUAUCCCCUGUGCAUAUGCCUGCACCCGAGCAAUGUCCAUACCUGGCUGAAGAGUCAGUGCCAUACAACCGUCAAUCAGAUAACGAUCCAAUCCCAUCACAUAACGAUGUACCCUGUCUGCCAUAUCAUCCACAAUAGUAGGCGCAUGCCUAGCCCAUGAAUCAACUCGAGGCUUUACUCUCGAACGCUCGUACCAUUCUGCUUCUAACGCAAGAAUCUAUCGACUCUAGUCGCUUCAUCUCUGGAGGCAGGAAGUGGCCCUGGAAAGCCUCCACAAAUCCAUCCCAUACCGCUGGAGGAGCACCCUCACCCCUAGAUAACUCCCAAGACUCCUACCAAUUAAUAGCUACAUCCCGCAAACGAUACGUAGCCAACUCAACAGACUCGGUCUCCGAAGCCUUGAUUAUCCUCAAUGUACGCUGCAUCUGAAGAAUAAACUCUUGCGGAUCAUCCUGGGGCCUUGACCCAAAGAACUUUUGAGGAUUACAACUUAAGAAGUCACGAGCCCUUAAGCUAUCAGAUCUGUCCGCAUGAUCAACUCCUAGUCCAUGCCUGCGAGCCUGACCUGCCACUAAUGUAGUCAGCAACUGAACCGCAACUCUCAUGGCCCUAUCCUCCGCCCCUGGCUGAGGAGCUGGAGGUUCAGGUGCUAGGGCCUCGGGGCUGGUGGUGGGGUCCCCCGAACUGGAGCUGCUGCUGCUCUAAGCUCCUCUUGCAAUGGCGGUGUAGUAGAGCUCUCCGACUGGAGCACAAUACCAGGCAUAGACUGGGCACGGGCCCUAGUAACUCUCAGGGUCUGACUCGUUCCUUCUGCUAUUGAUUUGCCCUUCUGGGCGGCUGUCGCUUUCUUUGGAGGCAUAGCUGAAAACACAGGGGUUCGUUAGAGAGGGAUUAUCCUAUUAAUAUAGCUCUAUCGCACGAUCCAGAAUAAGAAGAAAGGAUGACAUCCUAAAUGUCCUGUAGCUCCCUGUUUAUAGAUGUGGUGCACAACACACCGAUAAAUAUGACUCUACUAGACACGGUCUCUAGACACUUCUGAGAAAGAACCGCUCUGAUACCACUUUUGUCAUGACCCAACCCGAUGGUCCGUGACUAGUGCCCGUUUUGGACACUCACAUACAAAUCUGUUAAGUAUAACCAACUGAAACUAAGACAAUAUAAAAUUUAAUCAAAUCAAGCCAAUCCCAGCGCCAUAUAUAUAUAAAGUGGAUCUGUCUCAUAAGGAGUCAUAACCGUUCAACCGUAACAACAUACGCGAGCCAACAAGGCUGCCACUAUCCAAAGCAUAAUAGCAUACGCAAGCCGGCAAGGCUGCCACUACACAAUACACAAUGAUGUACGCAGCCGACAAGGCUGCCUCUGUACAAGAGAACAUCCCAAACAAACCAUGUCCAUACCAUUAUCCAAAACAAAUAUAUGCAACCCACAUAAUGUCUACAGACCUCUAAGAGUAUAGUAGUGAAACUCGACGGGACAGGGCCCCACCGUACCCAUACACAAUCAAAACACUACACAGAAAGUUAUGUACCAAAACGACUGGGCUCCGAAGCAGUGGAGCUCUCCUAAUUAGCAGAGUAGAUAUCCUAGGCGGGAGGAUCACCGAACGGUGCGUCUACACCUGCGGGCAUGAAACGCAGCCCCCCGAGGAAAGGGGGUCAAUACGGAUAAUGUACUGAGUAUGUAAAGCAUAAGGUAAAGAUGACAGGGUACCAACAUGAUAAGUCGAAACAAUAUAUCGCUACACAUGUACCUUUUAAGUGAAAAUCAAGCAUAUCUUUAACAUAUAAGGUGCCCAGCUUCCCUAAUAAGGGACUCGGCAAAAUAAUCAUCAUAUAUAUACAUCAUACGUACCCGGCCCUCUAGUGAGGGACUCGGUGAAAUAGUCAUCACAUCAUCUCCGUCAUCAUCAUCAUCAUAACCAUCCUCAUCACCAAUCAUAUAUAUAAUAUACAUACCCGGCCCUCUAGUGAGGGACUCGGUGACAUAUGCAAGAAACUCCGCACGAACAUUACCCGGCCCGGGACUCGGUGAAAUGAUAAAUGACUCUAUGCAGGAGCAGAAUAUUAUGAGCAACCAUAUGCAAUUAAAAUCAUUUUUUAUAACUCAAU
rnacentral:lncRNA from 1 species